AUGACUGUGCUGAGCCUGCCCCAGAGUGGCGGAAAGGAGGGCAGGCAAGACUGGGUCUGGCCAGGUCUGCUUUAAAUGAAGACGUGGGACCUCURAAACAAAGCAAACCAGGAAAUGGGGUCUGAACACUGAUUUUUGACACUCUCUGCUUUUGGAGGCAGGUCAGUCCCUGCUCACACCUGCUCACCACCAAGUCAGUCCCUGCUCACAAACCACCUAGACCCAACUCCGGAAGAGAUGAGAGCACAGAGAUUUUGCAGAGGCCUGGACAGAGUGGAUUCAACGUAAUGUGGCCGGCGGACAAUACCACACGGCCAGGGCCACAAAAAAAAAUGACAGAAGAAUGUGCUUACGACAUCAAAUGUCCCAAUUAUUUUUGUUUUAUUGGAACAAAAAU